AUGUGCCGUCAACCAUCGACACUUCACUUGUCUCCAGAUGAGCAGCUUGCUGCUGAAGAAACCUUCAAGUUGUACUGCAAGCCAGUUGAGCUCUGCAAUGUUAUCCAAAAACGAGCCCUUGAUAAUCCCGCUUUUCUGCAAAGAUGCCUUCAUUACAUGAUACAGGCAAGACACAAAAAGAGGAUUCAACUAACUGCAUCCCUCUCUCGAGGUACAAAUACUGAAUGGCCAGACCAGAAUAUCUUCCCCCUUUAUCUUCUGCUAGCCACACCUACUAGUGAUAACAUCCCACUAGAAGGGCAUUCUCCGAUAUAUCGAUUCAGUCAUGCCUGUUUGCUUACGUCAUUCAGUGAAUUGGAUAGUAAAGAACACUCCAAAGCCACAUUCAUAAUUCCAGAUGUCAAGAAUAUAGCAACCUCCCGAGCUUGCAACCUCAGCAUUAUCCUUAUCAGAUGUGAAGGGCAGGUUGGAGAAAAUAACUGCUCUGUGGAAGCAUCUGCUCUCCGAAAGCUUGAAGGGAAAUGUUUCUGGGGUAAAAUACCAAUUAAUUUACUUGGUUCGUCGUUGGAAAAUUGCGUGCCUUUAAAUUUGGGACAUACUGUGGAGUUGGCUUCUACAGUUACUAUGAGCCCAAGCUUCUUAGAGCCAAAAUUUCUGGAGCAGGACAGUUGCUUGACAUUUUGCUCCCAUAAGGUUGAUGCUACGGGUUCAUAUCAACUCCAAGUUGGCAUAUCCGUUCAAGAGGCUGGUGCAAGAGACAUGUCUGAAUCUCCCUAUAAUAGUUACUCAUACAGUGAUGUCCCACCUUCAUCAUUACCUCAUAUUAUAAGGUUAAGAGCUGGUAAUGUGCUUUUCAACUUCAAGUACUACAACAAUACUAUGCAAAAGACCGAAGUCACUGAAGAUUUUGCUUGCGCCUUUUGCUUGGUAAAGUGUGGAAGCUACAAGGGCCUGGGGUGUCACUUGAAUUCGACGCACGACCUAUUCCACUUUGAGUUUUGGAUAUCUGAAGAAUGCCAGGCUGUUAAUGUUAGUCUGAAGGCUGAUGCCUGGAAAAUGGAGCUUGUGGGCAAGGGAGUUGAUCCAAGACAUCAAACAUUUUCCUACUGCUCAAGGCUUAAGAUGCGUCGUCGAAGGUUGGUAGCCACAGCUGAGAAUAUAAGCCCCGUACAUCCACAUAUCAUGGAUUCAGGUUCGCCCGAAGAUGCCCAGGCACUGGCAGGGUCUAAAGACGAGUUUGUUCAGAGGGAAGAUGAUAAUAAUUCAGUAGCACUCGAUUCUGCCGAGCAUGAUCACUCAUUAAAUGGUAGCAACCUUACACCACUGACAGUACUAGAGUUUGGGAAGACAAGGAAACUAUCUGCGGAGCGAAGUGAUCCCAGAAACCGACAACUUCUGCAGAAACGUCAGUUCUUCCAUUCUCACAGGGCACAGCCAAUGGCAGUGGAACAAGUUUUGUCAGAUCAUGACAGCGAGGAUGAAGUUGACGAUGACAUUGCCGACUUGGAAGAUAGACGGAUGCUUGCUGAUUUUCUUGAUGUCACGAAAGAUGAGAAGCUUAUUAUGCAUAUGUGGAAUUCAUUUAUUCGGAAACAAAGGGUGCUAGCUGAUGGGCAUAUACCUUGGGCCUGUGAGGGCUUCUCCCGGCUUCAUGGACCGCAGCUUGUACAAAACCCUCCUCUGCUCUGGUGCUGGCGUUUCGUCAUGAUUAAGCUGUGGAACCACAGCCUGCUGGAUGCGCGCGCCAUGAACACAUGCAACACCAUUCUUGAGGGAUACCAACCCAAGAAGAAGAUGUUUUAA
rnacentral:rRNA from 1 species